rnacentral:rRNA from 1 species
UCUUCCUACGGGGCGCAGCAGUGGGGAAUAUUGGGCAAUGGGCGCAAGCCUGACCCAGCAACGCCGCGUGAAGGAAGAAGGCUUUCGGGUUGUAAACUUCUUUUCUCAGGGACGAAGCAAGUGACGGUACCUGAGGAAUAAGCCACGGCUAACUACGUGCCAGCAGCCGCGGUAAUACGUAGGUGGCAAGCGUUAUCCGGAUUUACUGGGUGUAACGGGCGUGUAGGCGGGACUGCAAGUCCGAUGUGAAAACCAUGGGCUCAACCUUUGGCCUGCA